rnacentral:rRNA from 1 species
UACGAAGGGGGCUAGCGUUGCUCGGAAUCACUGGGUGUAAAGGGCGCGUAGGCGGCGUUUUAAGUCGGGGGUGAAAGCCUGUGGUUCAACCACAGAAUGGCCUUCGAUACUGGGGCGCUUGAGUAUGGUAGAGGUUGGUGGAACUGCGAGUGUAGAGGUGAAAUUCGUAGAUAUUCGCAAGAACACCGGUGGCGAAGGCGGCCAACUGGACCAUUACUGACGCUGAGGCGCGAAAGCGUGGGGAGCAAACAGG